rnacentral:lncRNA from 1 species
GCAGAGGAGGUUGUGGAUUCUAAUCUCGAGACAAAACCAAGCAUCAGAGCUCUCAAACGGGCAAUUCUAAUCGCUUUAAAGUGUGUCGAUAUGGAUUCUGAAAAGAGACCCAAAAUGUGUCAUGUUGUUAGAAUGCUCGAAGCGAAAGAUUCACACCAAGCCGCAACUUCUUCAUCUGAAUCUCACCAGAACAAAAGUAGGAGCUUGGAGAUUGAAUCUCAUCCAGAAAGAUAGCUCGAUCUAGUUUGUAUGAUGACAUAAGUCCAAUCAAAUAUUUACCUGUUAAGAUCAUAUUGUCCAAGCUUCGAUUUGUAAACCUUUCCUUCUAUCAUUGCCAUUUGUUUUUUUUACCUAUAGCAAUAAUAUGUGAUUACCCAAGUAACACGUGGCAAUAUCAGAAACCAAUGAAAGAACUAACUAGUCGAUACUUCAUAGUGUAAUACCUACUUAUCUCUUUCGAACUUUUCAUAUAACCAUGACCGUAAAGAUUCCCACCACCACCAUCGGAGCUACA